UACGUAGGGACCGAGCGUUGUUCGGAUUUACUGGGCGUAAAGGGCGCGUAGGCGGCAAUUCAAGUCAGUUGUGAAAUCUCCGAGCUUAACUCGGAACGGUCAACUGAUACUGCUUUGCUAGAGUACAGAAGGGGCAACCGGAAUUCUUGGUGUAGCGGUGAAAUGCGUAGAUAUCAAGAGGAACACCUGAGGUGAAGACGGGUUGCUGGGCUGAUACUGACGCUGAGGCACGAAAGUGUGGGGAUCAAACAGG
rnacentral:rRNA from 1 species